rnacentral:rRNA from 1 species
CAUUCUCUAGCUUGCUAGAGAGAUGGCGAGUGGCGAACGGGUGAGUAACGCGUAGGAAUAUACCUUGAAGAGUGGGACAACUUGGGGAAACUCAAGCUAAUACCGCAUAAUAUCUUAGGAUGAAAGCUGGGGACCUUCGGGCCUGGCGCUUUAAGAUUAGCCUGCGUACGAUUAGCUAGUUGGUAGGGUAAGGGCCUACCAAGGCGACGAUCGUUAGCUGGUCUGAGAGGAUGGCCAGCCACACUGGAACUGAGACACGGUCCAGACUCCUACGGGAGGCAGCAGUGGGGAAUAUUGGACAAUGGGGGCAACCCUGAUCCAGCAAUGCCGCGUGUGUGAAGAAGGCCUGAGGG